rfam:Beta vulgaris subsp. vulgaris chromosome 7, whole genome shotgun sequence.
AGAUUGUGGUGUGGGCAUUCUUCCUGCAGGUCCUUAAACCUAUUCCAUGCUUUCUUAAACGUAUCAUCAGGUUCUUGUUGGAAGGUAGCAAGAUUCUACCUGAUUUC